UAACGAAAUUAAUGGAUGAUAAUGUGACACAACUUAAAGCUGAUGUGUUAGAUUGGACCCUCGUUAGCUUUAAGUUGUGUCACAUCAUCAUUCAUUAAUU
rnacentral:pre_miRNA from 1 species